rnacentral:rRNA from 1 species
CAGCCGCCGCGGUAAAACGAAGGGGGCUAGCGUUGUUCGGAUUUACUGGGCGUAAAGGGCGCGUAGGCGGACUGAUAAGUCAGGGGUGAAAUCCCAAGGCUCAACCUUGGAACUGCCUUUGAUACUGUUUGUCUUGAAUUCGAGAGAGGUAAGUGGAACUGCGAGUGUAGAGGUGAAAUUCGUAGAUAUUCGCAAGAACACCAGUGGCGAAGGCGGCUUACUGGCUCGAAACUGACGCUGAGGCGCGAAAGCGUGGGGAGCAAACAGGAUUAGAUACCCCCGUAGUCCCUGUCUCUUAUAA